CAUGUUAACAUGUAAAAUGUUAAGAAAAAGAAAUAGAUAGAAUAAAAAUUGAAUAAGAAUUAAAAAGCCAAAGUCGACUAAAAAUAAAUUUUUCAGUAAACGAAAAACAAAAUACAUUAGGUAUAGAUCCGAUAUAGAAAAUUUAAAAUACACACGCUAAAAGAAAAAACACAUUCUAAUUAUUUUUAUCAUCAUCAUAAUUAGUGG
rnacentral:lncRNA from 1 species